AACGGUAACAGGAAGCAGCUUGCUGCUUUGCUGACGAGUGGCGGACGGGUGAGUAAUGUCUGGGAAACUGCCUGAUGGAGGGGGAUAACUACUGGAAACGGUAGCUAAUACCGCAUAACGUCGCAAGACCAAAGAGGGGGACCUUCGGGCCUCUUGCCAUCGGAUGUGCCCAGAUGGGAUUAGCUAGUAGGUGGGGUAACGGCUCACCUAGGCGACGAUCCCUAGCUGGUCUGAGAGGAUGACCAGCCACACUGGAACUGAGACACGGUCCAGACUCCUACGGGAGGCAGCAGUGGGGAAUAUUGCACAAUGGGCGCAAGCCUGAUGCAGCCAUGCCGCGUGUAUGAAGAAGGCCUUCGGGUUGUAAAGUACUUUCAGCGGGGAGGAAGGGAGUAAAGUUAAUACCUUUGCUCAUUGACGUUACCCGCAGAAGAAGCACCGGCUAACUCCGUGCCAGCAGCCGCGGUAAUACGGAGGGUGCAAGCGUUAAUCGGAAUUACUGGGCGUAAAGCGCACGCAGGCGGUUUGUUAACUCACAUGUGAAAUCCCCGGGCUCAACCUGGCAACUGCAUCUGAUACUGGCGAGCUUGAGUCUCGUACAGGGGGGAAGAAUGCCAUGGAGGACCGCCGAUCUGCCUUCGAGAUCUGGCGCGAUUACCUCAGCUGCUACAUGCUAGAACUCGCCUCGGCACAAGACUGA
rnacentral:rRNA from 1 species